GACGAACGCUGGCGGCGUGCUUAACACAUGCAAGUCGAACGGAAAGGCCCUGCUUUUGUGGGGUGCUCGAGUGGCGAACGGGUGAGUAACACGUGAGUAACCUGCCCUUGACUUUGGGAUAACUUCAGGAAACUGGGGCUAAUACCGGAUAGGAUCUCCUGCUGCAUGGUGGGGGUUGGAAAGUUUCGGCGGUUGGGGAUGGACUCGCGGCUUAUCAACUUGUUGGUGGGGUAGUGGCUUACCAAGGCUUUGACGGGUAGCCGGCCUGAGAGGGUGACCGGCCACAUUGGGACUGAGAUACGGCCCAGACUCCUACGGGAGGCAGCAGUGGGGAAUAUUGCACAAUGGGCGGAAGCCUGAUGCAGCAACGCCGCGUGCGGGAUGACGGCCUUCGGGUUGUAAACCGCUUUCGCCUGUGACGAAGCGUGAGUGACGGUAAUGGGUAAAGAAGCACCGGCUAACUACGUG
rnacentral:rRNA from 1 species